UACGAAGGGUGCAAGCGUUACUCGGAAUUACUGGGCGUAAAGCGUGCGUAGGUGGUUUGUUAAGUCUGCUGUGAAAGCCCCGGGCUCAACCUGGGAAUGGCCGUUGAAACUGGCGAACUGGAGUGUGGCAGAGGGGGGUGGAAUUCCGCGUGUAGCAGUGAAAUGCGUAGAGAUGCGGAGGAACACCGAUGGCGAAGGCAGCCCCCUGGGCUAACACUGACGCUCAGGCACGAAAGCGUGGGGAGCAAACAGG
rnacentral:rRNA from 1 species